rnacentral:rRNA from 1 species
CAGGGAAUCUUCGGCAAUGGACGGAAGUCUGACCGAGCAACGCCGCGUGAGUGAAGAAGGUUUUCGGAUCGUAAAGCUCUGUUGUUAGAGAAGAACGUUGGUAGGAGUGGAAAAUCUACCAAGUGACGUUAACUAACCAGAAAGGGACGGCUAACUACGUGCCAGCAGCCGCGGUAAUACGUAGGUCCCGAGCGUUGUCCGGAUUUAUUGGGCGUAAAGCGAGCGCAGGCGGUUCUUUAAGUCUGAAGUUAAAGGCAGUGGCUUAACCAUUGUACGCUUUGGAAACUGGAGGACUUGAGUGCAGAAGGGGAGAGUGGAAUUCCAUGUGUAGCGGUGAAAGGCGUAGAUAUAUGGAGGAACACCGGUGGCGAAAGCGGCUCUCUGGGCUGUAACUGACGCUGAGGCUCGAAAGCGUGGGGAACAAACAGG